AUUGAACGCUGGCGGCAGGCCUAACACAUGCAAGUCGAGCGGAGCGGCGGACGGGUGAGUAAUGCCUAGGAAUCUGCCUGGUAGUGGGGGAAACCUCCGGGAACGGGGCCUUAUACCGCCUACUCUCCAGUGAGGCUAGGGCGGAUUAGCUUGGUGGUGGGGUAAAGGCCUACCAAGGCGACGAUCCGUAACUGGUCUGAGAGGAUGAUCAGUCACACUGGAACUUAGACACGGUCCAGACUCCUACGGGAGGCAGCAGUGGGGAAUAUUGGACAAUGGGCGAAAGCCUGAUCCAGCCAUGCCGCGUGUGUGAAGAAGGUCUUCGGAUUGUAAAGCACUUUAAGUUGGGAGGCGUUACCAACAGAAUAAGCACCGGCUAACUUCGUGCCAGCAGCCGCGGUAAUUC
rnacentral:rRNA from 1 species